UACGUAGGGCGCAAGCGUUGUCCGGAAUUAUUGGGCGUAAAGAGCUCGUAGGCGGUUUGUCGCGUCUGCUGUGAAAACCUAAGUCUCAACCUUGGGCUUGCAGUGGGUACGGGCAGACUAGAGUGCGGUAGGGGUGACUGGAAUUCCUGGUGUAGCGGUGGAAUGCGCAGAUAUCAGGAGGAACACCAAUGGCGAAGGCAGCUUGCUGGGACGGUACUGACGCUGAGGCGCGAAAGCGUGGGGAGCAAACAGG
rnacentral:rRNA from 1 species